rnacentral:rRNA from 1 species
AGUGAACGCUGGCGGUAGGCCUAACACAUGCAAGUCGAACGGCAGCACAGUAAGAGCUUGCUCUUACGGGUGGCGAGUGGCGGACGGGUGAGGAAUACAUCGGAAUCUACUUUUUCGUGGGGGAUAACGUAGGGAAACUUACGCUAAUACCGCAUACGACCUACGGGGGAAAGCAGGGGAUCUUCGGACCUUGCGCGAUUGAAUGAGCCGAUGUCGGAUUAGCUAGUUGGCGGGGUAAAGGCCCACCAAGGCGACGAUCCGUAGCUGGUCUGAGAGGAUGAUCAGCCACACUGGAACUGAGACACGGUCCAGACUCCUACGGGAGGCAGCAGUGGGGAAUAUUGGACAAUGGGCGAAAGCCUGAUCCAGCCAUACCGCGUGGGUGAAGAAGGCCUUCGGGUUGUAAAGCCCUUUUGUUGGGAAAGAAAAGCAGCAGGUUAAUACCCCGCUGUUCUGACGGUACCCAAAGAAUAAGCACCGGCUAACUUCGUG